UUCAUAGUUUCUCUUUUAGAAUGUGAUCACAGAGACUUCCUGAGGUCCUGAAACACCCGUGUCCUAUAGCAGUGCUGCUCACACUUGCCUAAUGAGAACAAUUGCCAAGAUGCUACUGUUUCAGAAGAUGAUGCCAUGAUCAUGAAUGCACUAGAGCAAUCUGCAGGGAAUGUUUUAUGGUGAUACUUGCAUCUGUGAAGCAUUUGUCCUCCAAAAAGAAAGCAUGUACUUUAAAGGUUAAAUUCUCGUGCCCUGUCCAAUGUACAUUACAGAAUAUCCUCAAAAACCUACGGGUAAUAAUCUUUAU
rnacentral:lncRNA from 1 species